AACUACGUGCCAGCAGCCGCGGUAAUACGUAGGUGGCAAGCGUUGUCCGGAAUUACUGGGUGUAAAGGGAGCGCAGGCGGGUGAUCAAGUCAGCUGUGAAAACUACGGGCUUAACCCGUAGACUGCAGUUGAAACUGUUCAUCUUGAGUGAAGUAGAGGUUGGCGGAAUUCCGAGUGUAGCGGUGAAAUGCGUAGAUAUUCGGAGGAACACCGGUGGCGAAGGCGGCCAACUGGGCUUUAACUGACGCUGAGGCUCGAAAGUGUGGGGAGCAAACAGGAUUAGAUACCCUGGUAGUCCACACUGUAAACGAUGAUUGCUAGGUGUGGGGGGUCUGACCCCUUCCGUGCCGGAGCUAACGCAAUAAGCAAUCCACCUGGGGAGUACGACCGCAAGGUUGAAACUCAAAGGAAUUGACGGGGACCCGCACAAGCAGUGGAUUAUGUGGUUUAAUUCGAAGCAACGCGAAGAACCUUACCAGCACUUGACAUCCAACUAACGAAAUAGAGAUAUAUUAGGUGCCCUUCGGGGAAAGUUGAGACAGGUGGUGCAUGGUUGUCGUCAGCUCGUGUCGUGAGAUGUUGGGUUAAGUCCCGCAACGAGCGCAACCCUCGCCAUUAGUUGCUACGCAAGAGCACUCUAAUGGGACCGCUACCGACAAGGUGGAGGAAGGUGGGGACGACGUCAAAUCAUCAUGCCCCUUAUGUGCUGGGCUACACACGUAAUACAAUGGCCAUCAACAGAGAGAAGCAAUACCGCGAGGUGGAGCAAAACUUCAAAAAUGGUCUCAGUUCGGACUGCAGGCUGCAACCCGCCUGCACGAAGUUGGAAUUGCUAGUAAUCGUGGAUCAGCAUGCCACGGUGAAUACGUUCCCGGGUCUUGUACACACCGCCCGUCACACCAUGGGAGCCGGUAACACCCGAAGUCAGUAGUCUAACCGCAAGGAGGACGCUGCCGAAGGUGGGAUUGGCGACUGGGGUGAAGUCGUAACAAGGUAGCCGUAUCGGAAGGUGCGGCUG
rnacentral:rRNA from 1 species